GACGAACGCUGGCGGCGUGCUUAACACAUGCAAGUCGAACGGAAAGGCCCUGCUUUUGUGGGGUGCUCGAGUGGCGACCGGGUGAGUAACACGUGAGUAACCUGCCCUUGACUUUGGGAUGACUUCAGGAAACUGGGGCUAAUACCGGAUAGGAGCUCCUGCUGCAUGGUGGGGGUUGGAAAGUUUCGGCGGUUGGGGAUGGACUCGCGGCUUAUCAGCUUGUUGGUGGGGUGGUGGCUUACCAAGGCUUUGACGGGUAGCCGGCCUGAAAGGGGGACCGGCCACAUUGGGACUGAGAUACGGCACAGACUCCUACGGGAGGCAGCAGUGCGGUAUAUUGCACAAUGGGCGGAAGCCUGAUGCAGCAACGCCGCGUGCGGGAUGACGGCCUUCGGGUUGUAAACCGCUUUCGCCUGUGACGAAGCGUGAGUGACGGUAAUGGGUAAAGAAGCACCGGCUAACUACGUG
rnacentral:rRNA from 1 species